GGGUUGUGAGGUUAAGCGACCAAGCGUACACGGUGGAUGCCCUGGCAGUCAGAGGCGAUGAAGGGCGUGCUAAUCUGCGAUAAGCGCCGGUAAGGUGAUAUGAACCGUUAUAACCGGCGAUACCCGAAUGGGGAAACCCAGUGUGAUUCGUCACACUAUCAUUAACUGAAUCCAUAGGUUAAUGAGGCAAACCGGGGGAACUGAAACAUCUAAGUACCCCGAGGAAAAGAAAUCAACCGAGAUUCCCCCAGUAGCGGCGAGCGAACGGGGAGGAGCCCAGAGCCUGAAUCAGCAUGUGUGUUAGUGGAAGCGUCUGGAAAGGCGCGCGAUACAGGGUGACAGCCCCGUACACAAAAGCGCAUGUGCUGUGAGCUCGAUGAGUAGGGCGGGACACGUGGUAUCCUGUCUGAAUAUGGGGGGACCAUCCUCCAAGGCUAAAUACUCCUGACUGACCGAUAGUGAACCAGUACCGUGAGGGAAAGGCGAAAAGAACCCCGGCGAGGGGAGUGAAAAAGAACCUGAAACCGUGUACGUACAAGCAGUGGGAGCACAGGUUUACCUGUGUGACUGCGUACCUUUUGUAUAAUGGGUCAGCGACUUAUAUUCUGUAGCAAGGUUAACCGAAUAGGGGAGCCGGAGGGAAACCGAGUCUUAAUUGGGCGUUAAGUUGCAGGGUAUAGACCCGAAACCCGGUGAUCUAGCCAUGGGCAGGUUGAAGGUUGGGUAACACUAACUGGAGGACCGAACCGACUAAUGUUGAAAAAUUAGCGGAUGACCUGUGGCUGGGGGUGAAAGGCCAAUCAAACCGGGAGAUAGCUGGUUCUCCCCGAAAGCUAUUUAGGUAGCGCCUCGUGAAUUCAUCUCCGGGGGUAGAGCACUGUUUCGGCCAGGGGGCCAUCCCGGCUUACCAACCCGAUGCAAACUGCGAAUACCGGAGAAUGUUAUCACGGGAGACACACGGCGGGUGCUAACGUCCGUCGUGAAGAGGGAAACAACCCAGACCGCCAGCUAAGGUCCCAAAGUCAUGGUUAAGUGGGAAACGAUGUGGGAAGGCCCAGACAGCCAGGAUGUUGGCUUAGAAGCAGCCAUCAUUUAAAGAAAGCGUAAUAGCUCACUGGUCGAGUCGGCCUGCGCGGAAGAUGUAACGGGGCUAAACCAUGCACCGAAGCUGCGGCAGCGAACGUAUCACCCAAGACAACUUUGCACAGUUGACGAUUGACGGAGCGAAGCGACGUCAAAGCGUUUUACAACGUCGAGUUGGCUUAGGGAUACGUUCGUUGGGUAGGGGAGCGUUCUGUAAGCCUGUGAAGGUGGCCUGUGAGGGUUGCUGGAGGUAUCAGAAGUGCGAAUGCUGACAUAAGUAACGAUAAAGCGGGUGAAAAGCCCGCUCGCCGGAAGACCAAGGGUUCCUGUCCAACGUUAAUCGGGGCAGGGUGAGUCGACCCCUAAGGCGAGGCCGAAAGGCGUAGUCGAUGGGAAACGGGUUAAUAUUCCCGUACUUGGUGUUACUGCGAAGGGGGGACGGAGAAGGCUAUGUUGGCCGGGCGACGGUUGUCCCGGUUUAAGCGUGUAGGCUGGUUUUCCAGGCAAAUCCGGAAAAUCAAGGCUGAGGCGUGACGACGAGGCACUACGGUGCUGAAGCAACAAAUGCCCUGCUUCCAGGAAAAGCCUCUAAGCAUCAGGUAACAUCAAAUCGUACCCCAAACCGACACAGGUGGUCAGGUAGAGAAUACCAAGGCGCUUGAGAGAACUCGGGUGAAGGAACUAGGCAAAAUGGUGCCGUAACUUCGGGAGAAGGCACGCUGACACGUAGGUGAAGUGAUUUACUCAUGGAGCUGAAGUCAGUCGAAGAUACCAGCUGGCUGCAACUGUUUAUUAAAAACACAGCACUGUGCAAACACGAAAGUGGACGUAUACGGUGUGACGCCUGCCCGGUGCCGGAAGGUUAAUUGAUGGGGUCAGCGCAAGCGAAGCUCCUGAUCGAAGCCCCGGUAAACGGCGGCCGUAACUAUAACGGUCCUAAGGUAGCGAAAUUCCUUGUCGGGUAAGUUCCGACCUGCACGAAUGGCGUAAUGAUGGCCAGGCUGUCUCCACCCGAGACUCAGUGAAAUUGAACUCGCUGUGAAGAUGCAGUGUACCCGCGGCAAGACGGAAAGACCCCGUGAACCUUUACUAUAGCUUGACACUGAACAUUGAGCCUUGAUGUGUAGGAUAGGUGGGAGGCUUUGAAGCGUGGACGCCAGUCUGCGUGGAGCCGGCCUUGAAAUACCACCCUUUAAUGUUUGAUGUUCUAACGUGGACCCGUAAUCCGGGUUGCGGACAGUGUCUGGUGGGUAGUUUGACUGGGGCGGUCUCCUCCUAAAGAGUAACGGAGGAGCACGAAGGUUGGCUAAUCCUGGUCGGACAUCAGGAGGUUAGUGCAAUGGCAUAAGCCAGCUUGACUGCGAGCGUGACGGCGCGAGCAGGUGCGAAAGCAGGUCAUAGUGAUCCGGUGGUUCUGAAUGGAAGGGCCAUCGCUCAACGGAUAAAAGGUACUCCGGGGAUAACAGGCUGAUACCGCCCAAGAGUUCAUAUCGACGGCGGUGUUUGGCACCUCGAUGUCGGCUCAUCACAUCCUGGGGCUGAAGUAGGUCCCAAGGGUAUGGCUGUUCGCCAUUUAAAGUGGUACGCGAGCUGGGUUUAGAACGUCGUGAGACAGUUCGGUCCCUAUCUGCCGUGGGCGCUGGAGAACUGAGGGGGGCUGCUCCUAGUACGAGAGGACCGGAGUGGACGCAUCACUGGUGUUCGGGUUGUCAUGCCAAUGGCACUGCCCGGUAGCUAAAUGCGGAAGAGAUAAGUGCUGAAAGCAUCUAAGCACGAAACUUGCCCCGAGAUGAGUUCUCCCUGAGACUUAAAGUCUCCUGAAGGAACGUUGAAGACGACGACGUUGAUAGGCCGGGUGUGUAAGCGCAGCGAUGCGUUGAGCUAACCGGUACUAAUGAACCGUGAGGCUUAACCUUACAACGCCGAAG
rnacentral:rRNA from 1 species